rnacentral:rRNA from 1 species
AUGGGGACACUGGAGCCCCUCUCAAACCUCUGCUCUCUUACAACAUUAGAAUUGCAGGAUUGUGGAGAGGAUCUGGAAUGUCAGGGCUUGCAGUCUCUCCUUACAACCGGGGGCCAGCUUAACAAAUUAGAGAUCAUGGGUAGCCCUAGAUUCUUUGCUGAUUGGGAUCCCAAUCCCAAACGGGCUUUGGAGGAUGCUGAGGGAGGUGAAGAGCAGCAGACACAGCUUGUUUCAUCCACACUGCGUGAGCUCAUGACGGAUGACAUAGCAGGAGUUCUUGCUGCACCCGUCUGCAGAUUCCUCUCUUCCUCCCUCACCAAGCUACAACUUUUGAGGAAUUGGUGUGGAGGGAUGGAGCGGUUCAGCAAGGAGCAAGAGGAUGCCCUUCAGCUCCUCUCCUCCCUCCAGGAACUAAAGUUUUGGAAUUUCAAGGACCUUCAACAACUCCCUGCAGGGCUGCGUAACCUUACCAGCCUCAAGAUAUUAUCAGUCAACUGUUGUCCACCCAUCUUGUCAUUGCCCAACGAUGCCCUCCCGGAUUCACUAGAAAAGCUAUAUGUCAGAUACAACUGCACCCAGGAGCUAAAACAGCAGUGCAGGGGUUGGAGGGAACCAUCCCUGAAAUCAUAA